UCAAAAGUUUGGUCCUAGCUUCAAUAUCAGCUUUAACUAAUUUUACACAUGCAAGUCUCCGCAUACCAGUGCCAACGCCCUUACGAUUAAAUAGGAGCUGAUAUCAGGCACAAUUAAUUAUUAGCCAAUAACAUCUAACUUAACACACCCCCAAGGGCCUGCAGCAGUGAUUAACAUUGAAUUAUAAACAUCAGUUUGAUUCAAAUAUAAUUAAUAAGAGUUGGUUUAUCUUGUGCCAGCCACCGCGGUUAUACAAGAAACUCAAGUUGACAUUCUACGGCGUAAAGAGUGGCCUAAAGAUAAUAAAAUUAAUUAAGACUAAAAAUCCAUUUAGCUGUUAUACGCUAUUAUGAGACAAUAAUACCAUUAUAAUCUUAAUUCAUAAAUACUUUUAUUCCACGACCACUAAAAUACAAACUGGGAUUAGAUACCCCACUAUGUUUAGUUAUAAAACUUGAUUAAUUACAAUUAAUUUCGCCAGAGUACUACGAGCAACAGCUUAAAACUCAAAGGACUUGGCGGUGUCCUAAAUCCACCCAGAGGAGCCUGUUCUAUAAUCGAUACUCCACGUUUUACCUUACCAUUCUUUGCCAUCAGCCUAUAUACCACCGUCACCAGCUUACCUUGUGAAAGAUUACUAGUUAGCAAAAAUGAUUUUAUCAAAUACGACAGGUCAAGGUGUAGCAUAUAGAAUGGACAGAAAUGGGCUACAUUUUCUUAAAAAGAAUAAUACGACCAAUAUUAUGAAAUUAAUAUUAAAAGGCGGAUUUGACAGUAAGAUUAAAUAAUUAUGCUAAUCUUAAACUGGCCCUAGGACGCGCACACACCGCCCGUCACCCUCAUCAAAAUAUUAAUCAACACUAAAUAAACUUAAUUAACUUCAUUAGACGAGGAAAGUCGUAACAUGGUAAGCGUACUGGAAAGUGCUCUUGGAUUAU
rnacentral:ncRNA from 1 species